CCUGGAGGUGGAGUCCCGUGGGUUUGCAGGGCUUGCACAGCACAGAGUUUUUCCUUAAAGCUGCAGGUGCCAUCGAUGGAUGCCACAUCAGGAUCAAACCUCCUGGUAACCCUGGCAUCAUUCCAAAAGCGCCCUCCAUUAUAGAGUGUGCUUUUGGAAUGAUGAAGACAAGAUUCAGAGGCAUCUUCCUGCAAGUGCUGGAGGUUGUCACAGCUUGUGCCAUCCUCCACAAUAUCUGCUCCUGUGCUGAUGACACCGAGGCCCCAGAGGAGGAUGUGGAGGUGAUGAUGAGGAGGAAGCUGGUUUGAAGGUCACCAGUGGUGCUCUCUGGCAGGACCAACUACCUGCUGAGGUUUCUGCCCUGGGGGAGGUACCACCUGACCUUGAUUACUUUUAACAACAUCCGUCCACAGCCAACCCUGUAAACCCUGAAGAUGGACGAUGCAGUCUACAGUGAAGAUGCAUCCUGAAACUCUGCAGACCAUCCUGCAAGAUGUUCCAAUCACCACCCAAAAAGUUCCAUCCCCGCGUCUCAGUUGAAGCAUCUCAUCCAUGUCGACAGAAAAUGUCGUUGAGGAGGCAGCAGUCCAAACUUCAGAUCAAGUGUUUGAUUCUGAACCACAAGUGGCUGCAGAACCUUCAAGGAAGCGCAAGAGACCUCUGGAGAUGGACACAACAGAAUGUCCUCCCACUAAAAAACAGAGGAUCUGCAAACCAGUCCUUGUAAGGACUCGUUUGGCCAAACGUAGAGCUCUCCUCAACACAAAAGUUGAGAAGAAGACGGACAAAACUGCCCUAGGACUCCCAUGGACCUUUUUGGAUGAAACUGACCCCAAAAUAGAAGUUCCACUUCCAGAAGCAGAGACAGAUUCUGACCAACAUCCCCAAGAAGAAGAGUCAGUGACCAAAGACCCGAAAGAGCCAUCUAACCUGGAGAAACCAAAAAUCUCCGCGUGGAGAAGGUUUAAAAAAGCUCUGACUCCAGCAAGAUGGCGCAAGCACAAGGCUGACACUCCUGCGGUCCUGGAUCAUCCAUCAACCGAUCCUGAUGAGGCAGAAACGUCUAUGGACCAGAAACAGGAAAUGUCUAUGGACCUAGACCUGGAAACCUCAGAUAUCGAAGAUGAAAUCUCUGAUGACGAGGAAGAAAUCUCUGAUGAAGAACAAGGGUCAGAUAAAUCUGAAGAAGGGUUAGAUGAUUCUGAAGAAGGGUCAGAUGAAGAAGAAUCAUCAGAUGACAAAGACGACGAGUCUUUGUCAUCUGAUGUUUCUGGUGGACAAAAUAUCUCCCUGUGGAGGACAGUCAAAAAGGCGUUCACACCAGCAGGCAGACGCCAGUAUAAACACAGAGCAAUAAACUAAAUUCUUGCUCAAAAACGGGUUUUCUCCUGGUGCUCAGGUUCGCCCUUAAAAAAAUUGUCAUGUCUUUGUGUUGUGUUUUGUUAAAAAAAAAAAAAAAAAAAGUUUAAUGUUUGUGGGUUUUCUCCUGGUGCUCAGGUUCACCCUUAAAAAAAGUUAGUCAUUAAUCAGUGUUGUGUUUGUAAUUUUGUUAAAAAAUCUGUUCAAUGUUUGCCCUGAAUGAAUGAAUGAAUGUUGGCGGGGUUUCUCCUGGGCUCAGGUUUCCCCUAAAAAAGAAUGAGUGAAUGAAAGAAUUAAAAAUAUGAGUGAAUGAAAAAAAAGAAAAAAGAACGAAUGUUUGUGUGAGUGUGUAAUGCAACCACAAGGGGGCACAUUCCAGUGCCCUCCUGUGCCGGUCCCAAGUCCGGUUAAAUGCAGAGGGGUGUGUGAAAGCAAAAUUGUUUUUGUCUGCAGUUUCUGUGUUUGCCCACAUUGGCUUAAGUGUGGACUCAGUAAGUUAGCUUAUUAUGCUACCCAGCCACCCAGUGGACAACAUAGCAUGCUAACGAGCUCCGUUGUAGCG